AAAGAUAAAAUAAAGGUUCUUAAAUCCACUCUCUUUAAAUUAAUCUAUUAACCAUUCUAAUAUAUAUCUAGAUUUAUUAACAUAUAAUAUAUUUUAAUUAAUUUUUACAUAUUAUAAGCUUUUACAGUAUGACAAUGAGUUCUGGUGAAAUUUCCUCAGCAGUUUGCUAACCUUGGUUCCUGUCAAAGGCUAACAUACCUCCCUUGAAAUAUCUUCCUGGACUGAAGUAGUUUGACUUAUCAGCCCCUACCACAAUUUCUCCAAUGGAAAGAAACAACACCUUUUCUAAGAUUGUUCCAUCAAUUUCGAUAAUUUAUCCUUAUACGACACUUGAUCCAUCCUCCGGGUCGUAAUUUUUGAUAUAUUCCUCCAUUAAUGAUAUGUUAAUUCAUAGUAAGUGAUCUGAGUGGUGUAGAAAUUAGAAUAAUUAUACAUUUCAAAAGUCUCUUAUUCUUCUUGGCAUCCAACAGACAUCUAACUUCAUCAGCUCCAUAUUGAUAACGAUUAUCACAGAAGGUGGUUUUGAUGCACAUCUAGUUUCUAUAUUUUGGCCACUGUCUUCUUUGUUUAUAGCUCGCUUUGUACUUUCAAUUGCCAUGACACUCCCUCACUCAAAUUCUUAACUAAAAAUACUACUCUCAAAUAUACAAGAAAUACAAGAAAUGGCAAUUUCAGAAAAAACAAUCCAAAACGACACCACAAAAUGACCUCUAAUUGAUGCCCUAUUCUUAUUCUCUUACUACCUGGUGAUAAUGACAAC
rnacentral:lncRNA from 1 species